rnacentral:rRNA from 1 species
UCCGUAGGUGAACCUGCGGAAGGAUCAUUAACGUAUCUCUGACGGCGAGGGUGCGCCCUGCUCCGGACCGAAAGGACGUGCAGCGGGCGAGCCCGAGUCGCUCAACCUUUGCAAACCCCACUGUGCACUUUUGUCGGCAGAAGGUCCCGCGUGGCCUUGGCCGGAUCACAAACUCCAAGUUUGACGUGAAUGUGUAGCGGACCAUGUGCCGCCUAAACUUUAACAACUUUCAACAACGGAUCUCUUGGCUCUCGCAUCGAUGAAGAACGCAGCGAAAUGCGAUAAGUAAUGUGAAUUGCAGAAUUCAGUGAAUCAUCGAAUCUUUGAACGCACCUUGCGCUCCUUGGUAUUCCGAGGAGCAUGCCUGUUUGAGUGUCUUGAAGUCAUCAACCCCUCCCAUUUUCUGUGGUUGGGUUUGGAACUGGGGGCUGCGGCCGUGAGGAUCGCUCCCCUCAAAUGUUUUGGUUGGGCCUGUGGGUCGAACUCGGUUGGCGUUGUACCAUCCUCGCUCUUGUCCGAGAUGUUCCCCUUUGAUUGAGCCCCUCCUGCGACUGCCUCCUUGGAGGUGGGUGGGGCCAAGGCUUAUUUGGAAAUCUGGACCCUCAAAUCAGGGUAGGGACUACCCGGCUGGAACUUAAGGCAUAUCAAU